AUUGAACGCUGGCGGCAGGCCUAACACAUGCAAGUCGAGCGGCAGCGGGAAAGUAGCUUGCUACUUUUGCCGGCGAGCGGCGGACGGGUGAGUAAUGCCUGGGAAAUUGCCCAGUCGAGGGGGAUAACAGUUGGAAACGACUGCUAAUACCGCAUACGCCCUACGGGGGAAAGCAGGGGACCUUCGGGCCUUGCGCGAUUGGAUAUGCCCAGGUGGGAUUAGCUAGUGGGUGAGGUAGUGGCUCACCAAGGCGACGAUCCCUAGCUGGUCUGAGAGGAUGAUCAGCCACACUGGAACUGAGACACGGUCCAGACUCCUACGGGAGGCAGCAGUGGGGAAUAUUGCACAAUGGGGAAACCCUGAUGCAGCCAUGCCGCGUGUGUGAAGAAGGCCUUCGGGUUGUAAAGCACUUUCAGCGAGGAGGAAAGGUUGAUGCCUAAUACGUAUCAACUGUGACGUUACUCGCAGAAGAAGCACCGGCUAACUCCGUGCCAGCCGCCGCGGUAACAC
rnacentral:rRNA from 1 species